AGACUUUGAUUAUGGCUCAGAUUGAACGCUGGUGGCGUGCUUAACACAUGCAAGUCGAGCGAGAAAGCUCCUUCGGGAGUGAGUAGAGCGGCGCACGGGUGAGUAACGCGUGGAUGAUCUGCCCAGAUGAUCGGGAUAACAGUUGGAAACGACUGCUAAUACCGGAUACGCUCCCAUUUCGAACUGGGGGGAAAGGUGGCCUCUUCUUGAAAGCUACCGCAUCUAGAUGAGUCCGCGUCCCAUUAGCUUGUUGGUGGGGUAACGGCCUACCAAGGCAACGAUGGGUAACUGGUCUGAGAGGAUGAUCAGUCACACUGGGACUGGAACACGGCCCAGACUCCUACGGGAGGCAGCAGUGGGGAAUAUUGCGCAAUGGGGGAAACCCUGACGCAGCGACGCCACGUGAGGGAUGAAGGCUUUCGGGUCGUAAACCUCUGUCAGGUGGGAAGAAACGUACGGUGUCGAAUAGGCUCCGUAUCUGACGGUACCACCAGAGGAAGCACCGGCUAACUCCCGUGCCAGCAGCCCGCGGUAAUACCGGAGGGUGCGAGCGUUAAUCGGAAAUACUGGGCGUAAAGCGUGCGUAGGCGGCCGUGCCAAGUCAGGUGUGAAA
rnacentral:rRNA from 1 species